rnacentral:lncRNA from 1 species
CAAUAUUUUGUUAUGGUUACACUUGAAUUUGUUACAAAAUAGAUGAAGGAUGGUAAAGCAUAGUUAAUUGUACCCAACAUGUUACCUGAGAGAAAGAGAUAGAGGGAGAGAGGGCAGAGACCCAAGAAGAGCUCCAACAAAGAAAAGAGGCAGCAAAGGAAAGAGCCAGCCAAGGAAAAAGACAGCCAAGGAAAAAGACAGAGCAACAGUUACAGUCCUCUUUUAUCCCUUCCUUUACAAUGUGACUAAAAACCAAAUGUGAGACAUUCAAACUGACCAAUCAGCAGAUUACAUCUUCACCCACUGGGCAAAAGGUGUGACAAUUAGCAGACCCCCGGUGUAUACACAUGUUGGCCUACAGGCCUUGAUCACUAUCAGCACCUCUGUGCCUUCAGGAAUUCCAAAUGGCCCUUUUGUUACUGAAGAUAGGUUUGGGACAGGAAAGCAGAAGUCUUUUUGACCUUACAGUUCCCAUAGUUAGAGACUUUAUAUCUUCCUUUCUUUAGAAGUUAUAAACAGUGCCAAGCACCUUUUCAAACUAACUGUUUAUCAGAUCACCUGUGACUCAGAGAUGCUUAAGUCAUGUAUCCAAGAGUGAUGAAUAACCAUGCAUUUUGUAAAGCCACCUUUCAAAACAAGUGUGGGCCUACCAUAACUGGUUCUUUAGCUUCUUAACAGCUGCACGAAUGCCAGCAGAACCAGUCGUUCCUUUGCUGACUUCAGCUGAAAAAUCCGUUAGAAAGGGCAUGGGUGGAGCCCUCCGGGUAAGUGUAGAGUAGCUGAGGAGUAACACCUUUGCCUACAGGUCUUCAGCAAUCUUUCAUCAGCCAACUAGAAGAAAGAGAGACAUGAGUGAGUCAGAUGCAUGACCGAUACUCAAAACAAGAUCAUCAAGGAGCCAGGUGCACUUCUGCCACCCACUGGUGGAGCGUGAAACCGAGACGGAGGAAAAAAAUGAAAAGACCCCCCCCCCCACACACACACACACACACACUCACACACUAAAUACCAUUGACC